AGUGAACGCUGGCGGCAGGCCUAACACAUGCAAGUCGAACGGCAGCACAAGAGAGCUUGCUCUCUGGGGGGCGAGUGGCGGACGGGUGAGGAAUGCAUCGGAAUCUGCCCAUUUGUGGGGGAUAACCUCGGGAAACCGGGACUAAUACCGCAUACGACCUACGGGUGAAAGCAGGGGAGCUUCGGACCUUGCGCAGAUGGAUGAGCCGAUGCCGGAUUAGCUAGUUGGAGGGGUAAAGGCCCACCAAGGCGACGAUCCGUAGCUGGUCUGAGAGGAUGAGCGCCCACAUUGGAACUUGGACACGGCCCAGACUCCUACGGGAGGCAGCAGUGUGGAAUAUUAGACAGAGGGCGCAAGCCUGACCCAGCCAUGCCGCGUGUGUGACGAAGGCCUUCCGUUUGUAAAGCCCUUUUGUUGGGAAAGAAAAGCUGCCGGUUAAUACCCGGUUGUCAUGACGGUACCCAAAGAAUAAGCACCGGCUAACUUCGUG
rnacentral:rRNA from 1 species